AACACAUUUCCAAAGGUGAAUUUUUUUAUCCCUUUCCAACCGUGCUCUUCCUAGACCUUAAUAAUGGUGAUGAUCGAUCCUAAUUCUGUCGCUUGCACUCCCUGCAAACCACCGUUUCUUCUCUGAAUUAAUCACGAGCGUGGCUGGAUCAUUUACUUAUGUUCUUGAUCCAUUCUUAUGAUUCGUUUCACCUCCUACCGUACCAUUUCCUAAUUCAGUUUAACCCAUAAAUCCUAAAUUGCCUAAUUCAUAAAGUCUCGAUUCACUCCUCCAUCUUUGUCUUCUUCAUUGUUUCCUUCCGUUUUCUAUACAUUUUGAAAACCCAAUUCAUAGGCGCCCAUUUCAGAGAGCCUCUUUGUCCUCUUCUUCGUCUAUGCGUAAAUUCAUCAGGUAAAUGUUAUUUUUUAUUUUGUUUAUCAAUUUGGAAAAUAUGUUUAUUGUGAGAGAAAAUUCGAAAAUUCUGUCGUGGAUCAUUUGGAUUCGAUGACCGGUCGAAGAUUUUUUUUUCCAGCAAUCGUAAUGUCAGGUAAAUGUUAUUUUUUAUUUUGUUUAUCAAUUUGGAAAAUAUGUUUAUUGUGAGAGAAAAUUCGAAAAUUCUGUCGUGGAUCAUUUGGAUUCGAUGACCGGUCGAAGAUUUUUUUUUCCAGCAAUCGUAAUGUCAGGUAAAUGUUAUUUUUUAUUUUGUUUAUCAAUUUGGAAAAUAUGUUUAUUGUGAGAGAAAAUUCGAAAAUUCUGUCGUGGAUCAUUUGGAUUCGAUGACCGGUCGAAGAUUUUUUUUUCCAGCAAUCGUAAUGUCAGGUAAAUGUUAUUUUUUAUUUUGUUUAUCAAUUUGGAAAAUAUGUUUAUUGUGAGAGAAAAUUCGAAAAUUCUGUCGUGGAUCAUUUGGAUUCGAUGACCGGUCGAAGAUUUUUUUUUCCAGCAAUCGUAAUGUCAGGUAAAUGUUAUUUUUUAUUUUGUUUAUCAAUUUGGAAAAUAUGUUUAUUGUGAGAGAAAAUUCGAAAAUUCUGUCGUGGAUCAUUUGGAUUCGAUGACCGGUCGAAGAUUUUUUUUUCCAGCAAUCGUAAUGUCAGGUAAAUGUUAUUUUUUAUUUUGUUUAUCAAUUUGGAAAAUAUGUUUAUUGUGAGAGAAAAUUCGAAAAUUCUGUCGUGGAUCAUUUGGAUUCGAUGACCGGUCGAAGAUUUUUUUUUCCAGCAAUCGUAAUGUCAGGUAAAUGUUAUUUUUUAUUUUGUUUAUCAAUUUGGAAAAUAUGUUUAUUGUGAGAGAAAAUUCGAAAAUUCUGUCGUGGAUCAUUUGGAUUCGAUGACCGGUCGAAGAUUUUUUUUUCCAGCAAUCGUAAUGUCAGGUAAAUGUUAUUUUUUAUUUUGUUUAUCAAUUUGGAAAAUAUGUUUAUUGUGAGAGAAAAUUCGAAAAUUCUGUCGUGGAUCAUUUGGAUUCGAUGACCGGUCGAAGAUUUUUUUUUCCAGCAAUCGUAAUGUCAGGUAAAUGUUAUUUUUUAUUUUGUUUAUCAAUUUGGAAAAUAUGUUUAUUGUGAGAGAAAAUUCGAAAAUUCUGUCGUGGAUCAUUUGGAUUCGAUGACCGGUCGAAGAUUUUUUUUUCCAGCAAUCGUAAUGUCAGGUAAAUGUUAUUUUUUAUUUUGUUUAUCAAUUUGGAAAAUAUGUUUAUUGUGAGAGAAAAUUCGAAAAUUCUGUCGUGGAUCAUUUGGAUUCGAUGACCGGUCGAAGAUUUUUUUUUCCAGCAAUCGUAAUGUCAGGUAAAUGUUAUUUUUUAUUUUGUUUAUCAAUUUGGAAAAUAUGUUUAUUGUGAGAGAAAAUUCGAAAAUUCUGUCGUGGAUCAUUUGGAUUCGAUGACCGGUCGAAGAUUUUUUUUUCCAGCAAUCGUAAUGUUAGUGUUGUGAUGAUUAAAGGAACAUGUUGGUAUCUUUCUCUUUUUGCAUCUCAAGAAUCGAAGAAGACAAAUAUUUAUAUAUAUAUAUGUAACUGGCCAUAACUCUGGUAUGUAGAUUUGGACCAACGUGUUUCAUAUUUUAGAAGCAUAAUUAUUUUGUCUCUUCUGCUCAUGCGAUCAGCUAGAUAUAUUGAAAAAGGCGGAUGGUGAAGAAAUUCAGCCCUUCGUUUGCGAUAACGGGACCGGAAUGGUCAAGGCCGGUUUUGCUGGUGAUGAUGCUCCAAGAGCUGUAUUCCCAAGUAUUGUUGGCCGUCCACGUCACACGAGAGUGAUGGUUGGAAUGGGACAAAAGGAUGCUUACGUUGGAGACGAAGCUCAGUCCAAACGUGGUAUCUUAACUCUCAAAUAUCCAAUCGAGCAUGGUAACUGAGAUGACAUGGAGAAGAUUUGGCAUCACACUUUCUACAACGAGCUCCGUGUCGCUCCUGAAGAACACCCGGUUCUGCUUACCGAAGCCCCGCUCAAUCCAAAGGCAAUUCGUGAGAAGAUGACUCAGAACAUGUUCGAGACGUUCAAUGCUCCUGCCAGACGGUCAAGUGAUAACCAUUGGGACAGAGCGUUUCCGGUGCCCUGAAGUCCUAUUCCAGCCAUCGAUUCCAAACUCUGAGCCAUGACAUUCAGCAAGAAUACAGAGAAGUUGUAGAGAGGCGUGUGUUUACAGGUGUUUUGUUACUUCUUGGCAAUGGUAGUUACUCUCAACUAGCAGAUGAAAAGGCAAG